rnacentral:rRNA from 1 species
AUGAUGAAUAUCAUGUCAGAGUUUUAUGGCUUGGAGCUAAAUGUACCGUAUGGACCUAAAGCAAUAACAAACCUAUGUGCUGGCUUCUCGAAGGACUCAACGAAAGAGGGGGACAUUAUUGAGACAAUUGGACAUUUUAAAGACUUGCAAAAAGAUGAUCCAGACUUUUUCUGUAAGAUAAAAUAUGAUCUCGAAGGGAGGGCAGAAAACAUUUUUUGGGUGGAUGGCUUGGCACGAAAAGCUUAUACGGAGGCAUAUCAUGAUUGUGUCUCCUUUGACACAACCUACAUGACCAAUAUGUACAACAUGCCUUUUGCUCCGUUCAUUGGGAUCAAUCGUCAUGGGCAAUCUUUCAUGUUGGGUUGCGUGUUUGUGAGGCAAGAAAUGGAGACCAGCUUUGAUUGGGUUUUUGGAGCAUUCCUAGAGGCUAUGAAUGGAAGGGCACCGGAUAACAUCAUUACUGAUCAGGAUGUGGCAAUGGAAGAGUCCAUAAAGAACAUAUUUCCCACUAGUGUGCAUCGAUGUUGUCGGUGGCACAUCAUGAAAAAAGCUCAAGAGAAAGUUGGAUGGUUGCUAGGCCGGAACCCGGGAUUGUCUGAAGAUUUCAACCUUUGCGUUGAUUUCAGUUUCACACCAGAUGAGUUUGAACAUAAUUGGGCUGUGUUGAUGAUGAAAUAUGAGGCAAUUACACACACCCAUUUUGAGAAGCUAUACGAAUAUAGGAACACUUGGGUGCCAUGUUACUUCAAGCAUAGAUUUUUCCCGUUCUUGAAGUCUACACAACGAAGUGAGGGGUUCAAUGCAGUCUUGAAGCGGUAUGUCAACCCUCACAAGUCAAUUCUGAACUUUGUGAAGCAGUACCACAAAAUAUAG